rnacentral:rRNA from 1 species
UGGGGAAUAUUGCACAAUGGGCGCAAGCCUGAUGCAGCCAUGCCGCGUGUAUGAAGAAGGCCUUCGGGUUGUAAAGUACUUUCAGCGGGGAGGAAGGUGUUGUGGUUAAUAAACACAGCAAUUGACGUUACCCGCAGAAGAAGCACCGGGUAACUCCGUGCCAGCAGCCGCGGUAAUACGGAGGGUGCAAGCGUUAAUCGGAAUUACUGGGCGUAAAGCGCACGCAGGCGGUCUGUCAAGUCGGAUGUGAAAUCCCCGGGCUCAACCUGGGAACUGCAUCCGAAACUGGCAGGCUUGAGUCUUGUAGAGGGGGGUAGAAUUCCAGGUGUAGCGGUGAAAUGCGUAGAGAUCUGGAGGAAUACCGGUGGCGAAGGCGGCCCCCUGGACAAAGACUGACGCUCAGGUGCGAAAGCGUGGGGAGCAAACA